GGUGUGUGAGGAGAACAUUUGAGGCUCUGCAGUAAAAACGUCUUCACUUCAGUCUCUGGGAGAGUUGAUCAGCUAAAGCGACUAACUGCUGCUGCUGCAGAAAUCUUCUCACCAGGCUGUGGAAACUUUCUUCUCCUCCUCAACAACUUGGUGGAGUUCUUUCCAGAAGCAGAGAAGAUAUUCUGCGGUCUUCGUGACAAUCGGAGCUCCAGAAGCAGCUGUUAGCUAAACACGGCUAAAGAAAACCUGCUACCACUUCAGGAUCAUCCAUCAGCAUGGACACAGGUACUGGUGGAUGAAUGAAUAUAUUGUCAGUCUAUUGUAACCCUGGCGUCAGAUUAAGUUACCACUUAUUCAAAAAAUAAUAAUAAAUAGGCCAGACUCUAGGUCCAACAGGAUUACCUUACAAAUUACCAGUGAGUGGGAAAUGGAAUAGCUGGAUCCAAAGAAUGAGCAAAAGAACACAGUUGCACCAGAUUUGUAAUUUUAUAUAGAAAUAUGAAAAUAGAACAAAAA
rnacentral:lncRNA from 1 species